rnacentral:pre_miRNA from 1 species
AAUGGGAUAGCUUGGUCAUAUGGUGGCUCCAUUCCUAAUUUUUUGAGGAAUCUCCAUACUGCUUUCCAGAUUGGUUGUACUAAUUUGCAGUCCCACCAACAAU